GGAUUUAGUUUGGAACACUUUAUGACAUUCUCUCCCCGACUUUACGAAAACUAAAACCUAAACCGCGGCUCAGCUGAAACCAUUCCAACUUCAAUUUCUUGCUCCGUCCAUUCCAACUGAUGAAAAUCCAAAUCGAAACACCCUAAUCAGAACCCAGAUCGAAACACCCUAAUCAGAACCUCAUACUCCGUCCAUUCCCCAUCUCUCUUCGACAGACGAAGAAAUCCUCAUUCCACAUCUGGGUCUUUGUUUCAAACCUAAAUCGCGAAAUCAUCCAAACCUCUUUGCAAAUUUCAUGGGUCUCAAUCAGUAGCUCUUUAUCUAUCACUACUACAGUAGGUCGUCAUCUUUUCCAUAGUCUUCUUCCGCUGCUCUUAAGUGGAUUUGCUAUUUCCAAGCCUCUGAGUUAUUGCCACUUUGAGUACGCAAAGUUCUGGUAAGAGAUGACUUGAUUGUUGAGAACUGGUGACCAAGCUUGGAAAAAUGAAGUAGUUUGUGAGAUCAAUUUUGAACUUGCAUCUUGUGAUCAAGAUGAUUGUGAGGUUGUGAGGAAAGUAGGGGGAGGAAAAUACAACAAGGUCUUUGAAGGUAUUAAUCUCAAUACCAAUGAGCGAUGCAUAAUCAAAAUCCUCAAGCCUGUGAAGAAGAAGAAGAUUAAGAGGGAGAUUAAGACAUUUGAACACAGAGGCAUGUUCUUGGAAGACAUUUGUUUGGAUUCUUGAAAUGAGUUACCUGUUGCUUUUGUUACAUUCAAGUCUCGGUUGGGUGCAGCAUUAGUCUCCCAAUCUCAGCAGCAUACAGAUCCACUUCUUUGGAUAACUGACAUGGCUCCAGAACCGAGGGAUGUAUCUUGGAGAAAUCUGGUGAUACCAUACAGAGUUUUGCCACUUUGCAGGCUAGGUGUCAUUGUUGCAGCCUCUCUUCUUACAAUUUUCUUUGCAAUCCCAGUCACUGCUGUCCAAGGUAUAGCCAAGUUUGAGAAACUGAAAAAAUGGUUUCCUCCAGCCAUGGCUUUACAGUUGAUGUAAGACUUAUCUUGAUUAUAAAACUAGAACUUUGAUACAUCAAACU